GAUGAUGCAGCGUGCAAAAUCAUACUCCGUCCACAGAACGUGCUCGAUCUUGGCCUCGGAGCUCAUGGAGGAGAAAGAGAAAGUAGAGAAGGAGAGAAGAGGGCUUUUCAUAAGUUUCUAUGAUUUAUAGUUUAGAUUAGGGUUAAGAUGGGCGGACCAUUAAUUAGACGUUAUGUGUGGAAGGAAGGCGAAGUGUUGAGUUAAGGUGGGUGGACCAUUAAUUAGACGUUAUGGGUGCAUGGAGGGAAGGCGAAGUGUUGAGUUAAGGUGAGUGGACCAUUAAUUAAACGUUAUGGGUGGAGGGAAGGUGAAGAGUUGGUUUCGCAAUAUGAAGUCCAAAAGUAAAGAAAACACACCACGUGGCUUUUUUUUUCGGGAUAGGUGACUUUGAAAUAAAAUAUCAUUCAUUAUAGGUGACUUUGAAAUAGAGCUCUCAACAAUUAUGUAUUUAUUUUUAAUUGAUAUAUUUCCGACUUAAAUUUUUUAUUAAUUAAUUAAUUCAGUUUUAUUUGAUAUAGAGUAGUUAAUUAAUCUAUUUUCUAAAAUUUAGUAUUUACUGUUUAUGAUUUAAAAAGUUUGGUUAAAUUUUUAGUUUAUUUGACUAAAUUAGUAGCUAUGUGCGUGUUAAUAAAAAAAAAUUAGGAGAAAUUGUCUAAAAAUGAGAGAGAGUUUGUACAUUUUUAUCUAAAUAAAUUAUAUAAUUUUUUAUUAAUUAAAUAGAUCUCUAAUGUGGAAGGUUGGCAUGGAAACUAAAUAAUAUGUAGAAAAAGAAUAUUCCAAGGAGAUUUAGAUUUUAUUAAUUAAUAAUGUUUUGCAUAUUGUUUGAAUGAUAUGAUUAGAGGUCUGAUUCAUAAAUCACCUAAAAAUUGAGGGCAUUCAGACAUUUUUUUAUCAUAAUUAUGAUUUGUAUUCAUUAAAAGGGUCUCAAAUAUAAAAAUUUUUGAAUGCAAAAUAAAAUAGUAUGAAUGGUAUGGCCUAAAUCAUUUUUUAUAUAAAAAAUUUGCACGACUUAAAUCAUUUUUGGCAUAAUUUAUAAAAUUGAAGGGUUUCAGGUAUAAAUGUCAUUUUUUGUCCUAAAAAAAUGGUUUUUUUAUAAGUAAUAUAAAAGAAAAUUUUUUAUAACCAGAUGUAGAGAUUUAAAAUUUAAUUUAUCUAAAUGUUCAAUUGAACAAUAAUUUUUUUACUAUCUUAUGCAAUAUAAUAAAAUUAUUAAAUUAUAAAUAUUCACUAAUAAUUUAUUUAAAAAUUAUAUAUUACAUAUCAAUCAUGUCCGAUCUUAAUUAUUUUGAAAAAAAAAUAUUUUUUAUUUUUUUAACUAUGUGACGUGCAUUGCACGUGCACUCUACGACUGCUAGUAUAAUAUAAAUUGCAUCUCUUAGAUUAAUUUUAAUUAUACUAUAUUUAUUAUUAAAUAAAUUAUUUCAAUAUAUAUGAUAUAUUAAUAGAUCCGGUGUAGAUAUUAUUUUUCAUAUUUAAAAAUGGAAGAAAGUUGAGGGGAAUUGAAAGGAAAGCUACACGUAGUAGUAGAGAGUAUGCUAUAUUUUUUAAAUCCCAUAUGAGUAUUUUUGGUCUGUUACUUGUUGCUACUUACUUAUGAGUAUUUUUGGUUUGUUACUUGUUGCUACUCAAACCCAUCUUCCUCAACCCCAUCUUCCUCAAAUUCUUUCUUAGUGGAUGAGAUGAGGGACGAAAGAGGAAAGACCCCAUCUUUCUCAAUUUCUUUCCAGGAGUGCCCCCCACACCCCUUCCCCACCCUAUAUAUGUAACGACCUAGCUCACUAGCAAUAAUAAUUCGUUGGACCCAAACACCGGCCCAAAAUGCUUAAGCUCAGUUAUUAUUACUAGUUUCUAAAUCUCUUAUAUACCCAAUCACAUCCUAUUCAUAUCCAAUGUGGGAUUAUUUGGGUGUGACAAACUCCACCCGUUAAUCACAUCCCCAUUCAUAUCAGAUGUGGGAUUAUUCGGGUGUGACAGACUCCCCCCUGACAUCCUUGUCAGUCCAAUCACACACACAGCCCAAGAUCACCAGGCGAUGUGAGACUCGUCUCGCUAGCCUUGUCAUACAGACCCUGACAUAGCUGGUCACCUUAUCAUUCAGACUCCGGCAUAACCCAUCACAUUAUUUUUUAGACCAUGGCUCAGCCGAGACUCACCACACAUUUUCGGCUGGUAAACUGGCUCUGAUACCAAAUGUAACGACCCAGCCCACUAGCAAUAAUAACUCGUUGGACCCAACCACCAACCUAAAAUGCUUAAGCCCAGUUAUUAUUGCUAGUGUCUAAAUCUUUUAUAUACCCAAUCACAUCCUCAUUCAUAUUCGAUGUGGGAUUGUUGGGGUAUGACAAUAUAUACACGUAAACAUAGUCAUUCAACCAUGCACACUUUCCUCCCUCUCUCUCUCUAUCUUUCUCUCUCUCUCUCCCUGCCCGCGUACUCAAGCACAUCUCUGUCUCUCUCUAUGUCCACAAUAACGAGCUUGCUACUUUCGCCAAACUUUGACCAAGAGCAAUCGACAGAAAGUUCCCCCAAAGUAGGGAUCACUGUCGGGAUAAAUGUCGGGAUGAGUGUUUAAGGGAUGAUUGCUGCUGCGGCAAUCAGCCUACUCAUCUACUGCAUAUGGCAAAAGAGGCGAUCUGGCCUCCGCAGGAACAACAGAGGCUCCACGACAGGGCAACCCCAUAGCGACAUUGAGUUGGUAGUCGCCUCAGGCGUACUAGAGGGCCGCCUCGCUGCGCGAAUGAUCAGCAAUUGAUCAAUAUUAGUAUCUAUAAUUUGGUAUGUAGGCCGUGGCUCUCUAUUUAUACACUUUAUUUUGAGGUUGCAAGGAUUUUGCAUAUAAGCAUAUAUUUUGCAUUUUUAUUUGGGUUAUGUUUAAAUGUCUCCUUGCGGCAGUAUUUACUAACUGCAACCCAUCGAUAUUUUUUUUUAAUCUUUUAAUAACCCGCACGUUGCGGCUGAUAGAUACUACUAAAAUAAAUUUAAUAUCUAACUAAUGUAUCAAAAGUUUGCUGUUAUUUUAAAAAUCAAAAUAGUCCAAACAUAUUGGGUUCUUGCAAAAGUAUAUAUUAAUCUGCUGAAGCGGACUAGUAACAAAAUGCUCAUAGAAAGAUAAUAAAUGUAUCAACCUAUUGAGCCAAAAAUUGACAUACUAUUUGGAAGAGAUUUAGAUAAAAAAAAAUUCAAUAAAAAUUAACAUUUUAUAAAUCAAAAUAAUCAAAGGGUUAAACUUUUUUGUAUAAGUUAUAUAUUUAUACCUUCAUUUUCUCUAUAAGCUAUAAUAUUUACCCCUUCAAGAAAAUGAAGAUCUUUUUAGAUUAUUAUCAAUCUAAUUUUGUAAACAUUCUUAUAUCAGUUAAUAAAAAGAGUAAUGAAAGUAGAAAAAAAAAUAAGUAUAUGAAAAGUUAUAUAAUAAAUUUUUAAGAGACAAAAAGAUAUACAACUCAACACAACCUAAUACAGUAAAUAUAAUACAAAAUUUUACUUUCGAAAAAAAUAUAAAGAAUAAAUGAUAAAAAAGAAAAAGUAAUAAACCUUCAACACAACAAAUAUAUCAGUUCGAAUUCCAUGUAAAUAAAAAGAACUUAAAAAAACUAAAUAAAACUACCUAAGAAAUUUUAACGUUAUAACAUAAAAGAAUAUAUAAAUUUUUUAAAAGAACUUCUGAAUUUUAGAGGAAGGCACGAUUUGAUGAAGAUGACAAUGCCAAGCUCGGCGAUGCAGCGUGCAAAAUCAUACUCCGUUCACAGAACGUGCUCGAUCUUGGCCUCGGAGCUCAUGGAGGAGGAAGAGAAAGUAGACAAGAAGAGAAGAGGGCUUUUCAUAGGUUUCUAUGAUUUACAAUUUAGAUUAGGGUUAAGAUGGGCGGACCAUUAAUUAGACGUUAUGUGUGGAGAGAAAGCGAAAUGUUGAAUUAAGGUGGGUGAAAUAUUAAUUAGACGUUAUGGGUAGAGGGAAGGCGAAGGGUUGGUUUCGCAAUGUGAAGUCCAAAAGUAAAGAAAACACGCCACGUGGCUUUUCUUUUGGAGAUAGGUGACUUUGAAAUAAAAUCCUUUUCAUUUUAGAUGACUUUGAAAUAGAGCUCUCAAUAACUAUGUAUUUAUUUUUAAUUGAUAUCUUUCCUACUUUAAUUUUUUAUUAAUUAAUUAAUUCAGUUUUAUUUGAUAUAGAGUAGUUAAUUAAUCUAUUUUCUAAAAUUUAGUAUUUAUUGUUUAGGAUUUAAAAAGUUUGGUUAAAUUUUUAGUUUAUUUGACUAAAUUAGUAGCUAUGUGCGUGUUAAUAAAAAAAAAUUAUGAGAAAUUGUCUAAAAAUGAGAGAGAGUUUGUACAUUUUUAUCUAAUAAAUUAUAUAAUUUUUUAUUAAUUAAAUAGAUCUCUAAUGUGGAAGGUUUGCAUGGAAACUAAAUAAUAUAUAGAAAAAGAAUAUUCCAAGGAGACUUUAUUAAUUAAUAAUUGUUUUGGCAUACUGUUUGAAUGAUAAUGAUAUAGGGACCUGAUUCAUAAAUCGAGUAGAGUCAGGGUCAGAACAUUAAUUUUUUUAUCAAUAAGUGAUUGUAUUCAUUAAGGGAUCUUAAGUAUAAAAUUUAUUGAAUGCAAAAUAAAAUAGUAUGAAGUGCAUAGCCCUAAAUCAUUUUUUUUAAUAUAAAAAGUUUGGCAUGACUUUAAAUCAUUUUUGGAACAUAAUUUAAAUUGAACAGAGAUUAUAAAUGUCAUUUUUGUCCUAAAAUUGCUUUUUUAUAGUACGCUACACCCCAGAUAAAAAAAAAUUUUAUGCAGAUGUGGAGAGUUAAAAUUUAAUUUUAUCUAAAUUUCAAUUUGAACACAUAAUUUUUUUUACUAUCCUUAAUGCAAUAUAAUAAAACUUAUUAAAAUUAUACCAUAUUCAGUACAUAACUUUGAUUAAAAAUAAUAUUCCAUUAUUCAAUCAAUGUCGAUCUUAACUUAUUUGAAAAAAUAUUUUUUAUGUUUUAAUUGUGACGUGGCAAUAAAAAAUAUUUUUAUUUUUUUUAUAUGUGAUCUGUGGGCAUUGCACGGCACUCUAGCGAUCUACUAGUAUACGAUAUAAAUUGCAUCUCUUAGUAUUAAAUUUUAAUUAUAUCUUAUAUUUAUUAAAUAAAUUAUUGCAAUAUAUAUAUUAUAUUAAUUAGAUUCGGUGUAAUAUUAUUUUUCAUAUUGAUAGAAUGGAAGAAAUUGAGGGGAUAUUAUUUUUCAUGAUUUAUAGAAUGGAAGAACAGUUGAGGGGAAAAUAAUAACUCGUUGGACCCAACGACCAGCCUAAAAGCUUAAGCCCAGUAUGAUUUACUAGUGUUCAUCUCUUAUAAUACAAAAUCAAUCCUCAUAUCAUAUCCGAUGUGGGAUGUGACAAUAUGAAUAUACGUAAACAUAGAGUCACCCAUGCACUACUUCCACUCUCUCUCUCUCUCUGCUCUCCUCUCUCCUCCCUGCCGCGUACUCAAGCACACUCUGUGCUCUCUCUAGUGUCACAAUUAACGAGCUUGCUGCUUCGCCAAAUUGACCAGACAAUCGCAGAAAGUUCCCCAAGUAGGGAUGACUCGCGGGCUAAAUGUCGGGAUAUGUUCAAGGGAUGAAUUGCUGGCUGGCGGCAAUAGCAUACGUCAUCUACUGCAUAUGACAAAAGGCGAUCUGCGCCCCAGAACAACAGAGGCUUCGCACGACAGGGCAACCCCAAUACACAGUGAGCUUGGUAUCGCCUACCAGGCGUACUGAGGCUGCUCGCUGCGCUGACUGAUCAGGCAAAUUGAUCAAUAUUAGUAUCUAAUAAUUUGGUGAUGAUAGGAUCGUGGCUGCUCUAUUUAUACACUUUUAUUUUGAGGUUGCAAUUGGACUUUUGCAUAUAAGCUAUAUUUUCAUUUUUAUUUGGGUAUGUUUAAAUGUCUGCCUGCGGCAGUCUUUACUAACUGGGCAACCCAUCGAUAUUUUUUUUUAAUCUUUUAAUAACCCGCACGUUGCCUGAUAGAUUUACUACUAAAAUAAAUUUAUAUAUUCUAACUAAUGUAUCAAAAGUUUGCUGUUAUUUUAAAAAUCAAAAAAGUCCAAACAUAUUGGGUUCUUGCAAAGUAUAUAUUAAAUCUGCCUGAAGCGGAACUCAGUAAAAAAGCUCAAUAAGAAAGAUAAUAUGUGUAUCAACCUAUUGAGCAAAAAUUGACAUAGCUAUUUGAAGAGAUUUAGAUAAACAAAAAUUCAUAAAAAUUUCAACAUUCUUAUAAUAAUACAUCAAAAGGGUUAAACCUUUUUUGUAUAAGUUAUAUAUUUAUAGCCUUCAGUUGUCUCUAUAACUAUAAUAUUUACCCUUCAACAGAAAUAAGGAUCUUUUUAGAAUAUUAUCAAUCUAAUUGUAAACAUUCUAUAUCAGUUUUUUAUAUAAGAGUAAUUAAAAGUAGAAAAAAAAAUAAGUAUAUGAAAAGUUAUAUAUAAAUUUUUAAAAAACAAAAGAUAUACAACCCAACACAACCUAAUUACAGUAAAUAAUAAUACAAAAUACUUUCGAUGUAAAAAAUAUAAAAGAAUAAAUGAUAAAAGAAAAAGUAAAACCUUCAACACAAACAAACACAUCAGUAUCGAAUAUCAUAUUACAAUAAAUAGAACUUUAAAAAACUAAAUAAACUACCUAAGAAUUUCAACGUUACAACAUAAAAGAAUAUCAUAAAUUUUUUUCAAAGAACUUCUGAAUUUUAGAGGAAGACAGACGAGUGUGAGUGAGAGAGUGAGAGACGCAAGCUCGGGCGAUGCAGCGUGCAAAUCAUACUCCUCCACAGAACGUGAGCUCGAUAUUGUCCUGGAAGUUCAUGGAGGAGGAAAAGAAAGUAGAGAAGGAGAGAGAGGCUUUUCAUAGGUUUUAGUUGGAUUUUUUAUCCAAUAAUAAAAUUUGAUGAUAACCACAACCAAAUAUUCGAUUUAAUUUGCAUUAUGAAGCAAUUUCAGGUUAUAGUUAAAUUUAAAGUGGCUCAAGCUGAACCGGAAUUGAUGAAAGGUAAACAAUUCAAUCAAUUAUUCAAAUUGCCCGGACAAGAUCAAAUUGUACCAGAAUUGAUACAAGUGCCACAAGAAAAAUUUGGAGGAAUUCUUUACAAUUUAUCGGAUUUGAGCCGGUCCCAACUAAGUCAAGUUGACCAUUCACCUUUGGGUUUGAUUUGAGCUUAAUGUUCAAAUUAGCCAUUAUUUUAACUAUGGUAUGAAAGUGAUUUUUAUGUAUGGUAAUAAAUUCAUAUUUUUGAAACUAUAAAAAUAUGAUAUAAAAUGAGUUUAUAAGUACUGUAUUAAAAGCUUUUACAAAUGUGGGAAUGAAUUUCAAAAAGUUUUUUCGCAUUUGUCAAGUAUUAAUUUAAAAGAUUUUUAAAUUAGAUAUAAUUUCAAAUGAGCUUUUCAAUAUAGUAAUAUUUCAAAUGUUUUGCAAAUGUGGUAUGAAUUCGAAUUUAUUUUGGAAUUAAUUCAAAUGCAUUUGCAAAUAUGGUUAAAAUUCAAAUUGAAAUCAAUUAUAAUUUAAUUAUGCUUUUGUUCCAUUUUUGAAAUGAUGGCUAGUGUAUUUAAAGGGGGGCUUGGAUGUUGUUUGUGGUAUAACUUCAGAAAAAUUCUCUAAGUCCUAAUUGUUCAUUGAUUUGUAAUUGUGAGCUUCUUGAGAGAUUGUAAAAGAAGUUUUGUGUGAUUGUAAGCGGCUUUGGUCUUGCCCUAUUCAAAAGGCCAAGUGAUAGUGAAAUCGGUACCUCGAGGAGAAGAAGGACCGGACUGGAGUAGGCAGAAGGGCCGAACCAGGAUAAAUCAUCUGUGUUAUCUGAGUUUAAUUUUCUUCUUUUAUUUGGUUGUGCAAUUUUUAUCUUGAUUUAAUUUUACUUGAGUUUUUAGUUUUCAACUAAUUCACCCCCCCCUCUUAGUUGCCAUUUGAUCCUUCAGGUUUUUAUAAUUUACAAUUUAGAUUAAAGUUAAGAUGGGCGGACCAUUAAUUAGACAUUAUGUGUGGAGGGAAGGCGAAAUGUUAAAUUAAGGUGGGUGGAAUAUUAAUUAGACGUUAUGGAUGGAGGGAAGGCGAAGGGUUGGUUUCGCAAUGUGAAGUCCAAAAGUAAAGAAAACACGCCACGUGGCUUUUCUUUUGGGGAUAGGUGACUUUGAAAUAAAAUCAUUUUCAUUUUAGGUGACUUUGAAAUAGAGCUCUCAACAAUUAUGUAUUUAUUUUUAAUUGAUAUCAUUUCGACUUUAAUUUUUUAUUUAUUAAUUAAUUCAGUUUUAUUUGAUAUAGAGUAGUUAAUUAAUCUAUUUUCUAAAAUUUAGUAUUUACUGUUUAGGAUUUAAAAAGUUUGGUUAAAUUUUUAGUUUAUUUGACUAAAUUAGUAGCUAUGUGCGUGUUAAUAAAAAAAAUUAUGAGAAAUUGUCUAAAAAUGAGAGAGAGUUUGUAUAUUUUUAUCUAAAUAAAUUAUAUAAUUUUUUUAUUAAUUAAAUAGAUUUAAUGUGGAAGGUUUGCAUGGAAACUAAAUAAUAUGUAG
rnacentral:lncRNA from 1 species